UGCGGCUGGAUCCCCUCCUUUCUGGAGCGGCGAGUAACGCCGACCCCUCGGGGCCGGCGCGAAAGUCCUCGAGAUGUCGCCCGCACUGCACCAUCCCAUUGCGCACAUUGAUUCUUUGCUCUUUGACAAAUGAAGGCCGGAUAGUGUUGUUGUAUUAGGGAAUCCAAACCGUAGUAGGGGUGAGCCCGGUGGGUCACCCGUUCAUAGAUCGAGAUCAAACGCAAUAAGGCACCACGGUGGAUGCCUUGGCA
rnacentral:misc_RNA from 1 species